rnacentral:rRNA from 1 species
UUCUACGGAGAGUUUGAUCCUGGCUCAGGACGAACGCUGGCGGCGUGCUUAACACAUGCAAGUCGAACGAUGAAGCACCAGCUUGCUGGUGUGGAUUAGUGGCGAACGGGU